CCACGCACGGAAGUGUCCGUCCGAAAUGGGGGUUUCGUCAUAGCUUAAAAUACGUCUGGGCACAGAAUGCUCGAGUUCGAGUUCGACUUCAAAUCAAAAUAUAAGAAAGCAAAAGUAAGCACGGAUGUCAGCUUUAAUUAAAGUAGGAUUCAGUACAACUACAAUACCGGUAUAAUACCCGAUAACAUUUUCACACCCCAUUAAAACACCUUCUUUGUAUUACUGAGUUCAUCAGCAAGAUAAUUUGUCAUGAAAUCCAAUUUGACACAAGAAAACAGUGCUAGAAGGAUGUGAAGUUAUUGAACAAGCGCUCUAGUAUGAGGGGAAUUUAGAAAUUUGGGAGAAAAGGUAUGUGAGAAAUGCAAAAUGGGUCGUGUUUGCGAGGGGAUUUCUGCGAGAGAACCCUUUGAUUUUGCUUAGCUGUGAUUGGUUAGUUAGGUUGCGUGAGAGCAAAUUCUGAUUCCUGUGUUGGUGGACCAAAGAGCCUCGAACCCGCUCGGCCCUCAGCCAAUCAGAGGACAGUAUUGAUAGCGUGACUUGGGAUAUCGUGAGUUGCCGGGCGCUCACUAAAUGAUUACAAACGCCUCAUGAGUCAGGUACAGAGAAAUGGGACAACUAUAUAAACACCACGCCAAGGCGAGCUGUCAGACACAAGACAGAUAGCCCAGAAUCAAGAAACUACUAGAGGUGUACAGUUACCAAUCAAGAGUGCACAGUGAACCUGUCAUAGAUCUUGACUAAAGUUACACAUAGAUUUACUAUCAAAGAAUUCACAAGCGGGAGCAUGUUACCAGAAACCGUUCGCCCGUCUGUUGUCUCUCGACUUCAGUUUCUCGCUCUUUGCAGCAAGGCUCCCGAACAGAGAAACCUUCCAUUAGUAACGAACAAUGGAAGUGUCAUUGCUCCCAUAGCAACCAUCAACGAGUUGGCCAAUCAGCUAGCGAACAUCGGAGACGAGCUCACAGAAAGGAACAACUACAAGAGACGUCUCGCUCGAGAAGUUGGAUUGAUGGCCGUCAGUGUUGGCGUUAAUCUGUUGCUUGUGUACUUAAAUAGCGCAGCCUGAUACUUCGGCGGGUAAAAAAAAGGACGGGGCGAGGCUCCCAGUUAAAAGCAAAAUGUACUGUACGCAAAAUCGAUCGAGCGUGAAUAGAGUGCGACAGACGCGACACAGAAUUCGCGCAAAAUCGCCCAAACAGGAUGAUAGCACGCAAACUACCGACAUGGUGAAAAACAAACAUAAUGCAAUGGUGCAGCCCUCAGCUACUUCCAAACCGAGAACAUAUUAGAUAAAUGAGAAAUGACGAAAUUAGCAACGAAGUCAGACUGUUUUACAGUAAACAAGUCGCGUCACAGGGGAGCGACGAAAAAAAGUGGGAAAAAAAACGCAAUAAGCAUUUUAGAAAUUCAAGGGUCUAGAAUUUCAUAUCGAACAAAACCUGAGAAAAAAACACACAAAAGACAAUAUUUUACGAGCGUGGAUAUAGAGUAGAAAUAAGAUAAAAUAGUAAUAGGAGUCUAGAAUUCGCAUGAAAUGUGCUGGUUAUAUCUGGUUGUGGCAGUGUCGACCUUUGAGAAUCAAGGUGUAAAGUCCUAUUUGGGCCCUGUAUUCUCUAGCGGCUACGGAUCUCGAUAAAAUACCAACAAUUCCUUGAAUAUUAUCUGUGUAGUACAAAAUUAAUAUAUGUUUUCAUAGAAAACUAUGAAAUAAUUCUAAGUAAAAUUGCCCUAGUGUUCGCAUUCAGUCAUUUUGCUCAACACCCUCAUCAGUGUAACUGUGUUUUAUAUAAAAAUAUACUAAAAACAAUCAUGAGAAUAAACCUGUUAUUGAUAUA